rnacentral:rRNA from 1 species
AUUGCGGGAAGAUCCUGUCAAGUCCAUGUCACCGCGGCUCACCGAAAGGUGCAGCGCAGCACCGGGUUAACAACCCUGGGUAAGGUAACAGUCCAUGGAAUAGGGAGAAUCCGCAGCCAAGCCCCUAUGACUUUGGGGGUGCAGUUCACAGGCCAAAUGGUAGUGGGCAUCUAACGGUGCUUAAGAUAUGGUCGAGUCCCAAUUGUAAAGUUGGGUACAAGUACUCUGAUUACUACAUGGUGUAGUAGCUUGUUAAAUGCAAAUGUUCCGUAGGUGAACCUGCGGAAGGAUCAUUAAUGAAUCACAAGUCGGCCGUUCUGUGCUGGUGGCAACACAUGUGCACGUCGGUCGCAAAUCCACACACCUGUGCACCUUUGACUUUGGGAUCCGCCUGUCUUUUGACUCGCAGCAGGUCGGCUUUGUGCCGUCCUGGGUCUCAGAGUACUUUUACACACUCUGAAUGUAAUGGAAUGUCUCUGUGCUUAACGCGCAUAUAAACAACUUUCAACAACGGAUCUCUUGGCUCUCGCAUCGAUGAAGAACGCAGCGAAAUGCGAUAAGUAUUGUGAAUUGCAGAAUUCAGUGAAUCAUCGAAUCUUUGAACGCACCUUGCACCCUUUGGUAUUCCGAGGGGUACACCCGUUUGAGUGUCAUUGUAACCUCACUCCGACGACUUUGUUGAUGUCUGGGAGGUGGAUCUGGACCUUGCCGUGUCAUGAUGGCUGGUCUGAAAUGCAUGAGUGCACCCUGCUGUAGCAGCGUCUUCAGUGUGAUAAGUAUCUUCACUGAUUCAAGCUCCUUCGGGACACGCUUGUCUGGUGGGCUCUGCGCUUCCAACCGUCUCUUGUAGACAU